UACGUAGGAUGCAAGCGUUGUCCGGAAUUAUUGGGCGUAAAGAGCGCGCAGGCGGUAUGACAAGUCAGAUGUGAAAGAGGCCGGCUUAACCGGCAAGGGUCAUUUGAAACUGUCAGACUAGAGUGCAGCAGAGGAUAGUGGAAUUCCCGGUGUAGUGGUGAAAUGCGUAGAUAUCGGGAGGAACACCAGUGGCGAAGGCGACUAUCUGGGCUGCAACUGACGCUGAGGAGCGAAAGCGUGGGGAGCGAACAGG
rnacentral:rRNA from 1 species